UACGUAGGGUGCAAGCGUUAAUCGGAAUACUGGGCGUAAAGCGUGCGCAGGCGGUUAUGUAAGACAGUUGUGAAAUCCCCGGGCUCAACCUGGGAACUGCAUCUGUGACUGCAUAGCUAGAGUACGGUAGAGGGGGAUGGAAUUCCGCGUGUAGCAGUGAAAUGCGUAGAUAUGCGGAGGAACACCGAUGGCGAAGGCAAUCCCCUGGACCUGUACUGACGCUCAUGCACGAAAGCGUGGGGAGCAACAGG
rnacentral:rRNA from 1 species